AUUGUAGUAAUAAUAAUUAUGAAAGCAAAAAAUUAUGGCGGUAUUUUAAGCUUUUCAGAGGAAUUUGCUCUUUAAUGGAUAAAACACCAAAAUCUUACUUAGAUUUGUGAUUUCAAUUUGUAUACCACUAUUAAAACAAUUUAUAACUUUAAUUGUUUAAAUUUACAAAACUAAAAUAUAUUAAGUCAAGGUGCAGUAAAAAUUUAAGGAUGAAGUGAAUUACAUUACUUUUUAGUGAGAUAAGUUUAUAACAAUAUUUAGGAUUUGAAAGUAAAAUUAAAAUAGGAUGUUAAUUUGAAUUAAGCUCUAAAAUAUGUAC
rnacentral:rRNA from 1 species